CAAACCCCAACCCGUGAAAAAGAAACCCAAAACCCAAAAAGAAAAUCAAACUCUCUCGUCUCCUGGUGAAACCCCGACCCCCUCUCACCCUCGCUCGCUCACUUGCGCGCCUCACUGGUGUCCCUAAGCUCACUGGAGCUUGACGAAUACUGCAGCAAACCCUUCUCUUUCCUUCUCCUCGCAGUUGGAUUCCCCUCCCCUGUUCGUCCCUGCUUGACGCUGCUAUCACGUCACCCGCAUCACUGGUGCUGCUGUUGUGUUGUCGUUGUUGUUCCUGUGGCUACUGUUAAUGGUAGUGUUGCGGUUGCCAUCGUCGUCGCCUCCUCUGCCCUGUUCUCUCUCCUCUGUUCUUGCGUCGUUGUUGCUGCUGCCGCUGUUGUCGGUUGUCGUCGCUGCAGUUGUGGCGUUGUUGGCGCCGUCGUGGGUCGCUGCUGCCAACACCUUGCUGUUGGUGGUUGAGGCAAAGUACAUAAGGUAUAACUAUUGGGAUUAUUUGUGAGAAUGGCUUCAAAUGAUGAAAACGUGUCUGCUCGCAAAUCCUAAAAAGGUCGACUAUAGCUAGCUGUACUCCAAUUACCGUGAAUGAUGACGAAAGUUUAGUUGAAAUUGGAUCACAUGCUCCUUCUAUUUUACCAAUAACCUCUAGACACACAUCAAAAGCAUGGUCUGAUUUCACAAGGAAGGGAUGGGGGAUGUUAUUAAGGCUGAGUGUAACUAUUGUUUGAAGCAACUUGCUGGAGAACGAAGAGUGGGAAGUACUCAUUUGAAGGACCAUACAAAAAUUUGUCCAAAAAACAAUGUCAAGACCUUAGACAAACUAGGUUGUUUGGUUCACAAGCAAAACCUAGUGAUGAGCAAGACACAUUGACAUUGGCACCAUAUAAGUUUCAACAAGAGAAAAGGAAGAAAAACAUUGGCAGAAAUGAUUGUUCUUCAUGAGUACCAUCUUAGCAUGGUUAACCACUAUGUUGUUAGAAAGUAUUCCUCCACACUUCAACCAAUAUUCAAAGUACCAUGUCGCAACACAACUAAGAAAUGCAUCAUGGGAAGAUAUGAAUCUGAGAAGGAGAAUAUUAGUAUAUUGUUGAGGAAAGCAAAGAGCAGAAUUGCCUUGACUACUGACAUGUGGACAGCGAGCAACCAAAGUAAAGGUUAUAUGGCAGUCACUGCACAUUUUGUCAAUAGCUUGUGGAGAUUGCAAAGCCGAAUUAUUAGUUCUGAUAGAGAAGUAAACAAAAUUCAAGAUCUUCUCAAGCAAUUAACGGAUGAAUACGGGUCGGAGAAUGGGAGAUCCCAAGGUUCUAUAACCGUACAUUUGUUAGUCCUAGUGGAGUGAAUAGGGAUGUUUUAAUGCAAGAAUUUGCAAAAUAUUUGGAGCAAGAUCAAAGUGAAAUAAAUAACAAAUCAGAUUUGGAGAAGUAUUUGGGAGACCCUAAUGUACCACUUGUUGCUGAUUUUGAUAUUCUUAAUUGGUGGAAGACUAACGGAAACUCAUAUCCAAUUCUUCAAAGAAUAGCAAGGGAUAUUUUGAGCAUUCAUGUUUCUAUUGUCCCAUCAGAAUCUGCAUUUAGCACAAGUGGAUGUGUUCUAAGUCCUUAUUGUAGUCGUCUUCUACCGAAAACCUUAGAGGCUUUGAUGUGUACUCAAAAUUGGAUAAGGGCGGACAUUAAAGGUAAAAUUAUUUCAU